GACAGAGAAGCCUAUUAGGAAAUCAGAAUGCUGUUUUCAGGCAAACUGAACCCCAGAGUUUAUAAUGGUUAAGUUCUAAAGGCAAGUGUCCAAGCAUAUUACUGAAGAAUUUCUUUGCUUAAAUGGCAGCAAUCUUCCUUUAUGACAGAGAGCUGGAAGAGCAGAGCAGCUGUCAGUCUGAGAUGCAAUCAGUCUCCUACAACAUAUGCUUCAUGACAUGCAGAGAGCGGGACAGAAAAUAAACAUCAUGGAGAUUUUCCUGGCUGAGAGAACAUGCUAUACAGAAAAACAGACCGGCUAAGUAGAUUUAUUUCAACAGCUAGUGAAGCUAAAAUUUUUCACAAAACUCCAUUUCAAGCUCCAUACUCGAAAUAAUUUCAAUGGCUUUUCAGCCUGAUACUAACAAAGAGAUGCAAGAGAUUGCCAAAGAUCCUAAGCCUGCACUAAUCAGCACAGAUGAUGGGUGAUUUCGGAGACAAAACUCUUUUGGGAGUGACCAUGUCAGUGUGCUGCUGUUGUGAAUCAUCUUUAAAACCUUCUCCACUCAGUGUGAAGGACAUCCCCCCAAUAAAGGGGUUUGGUGAUUUGCUUAAGUCAACCCUGCUGUGUUCAGCAGGUAUGUACUGAAGAGAAAGUCUGCUGGAUUUCAAGAUACUGCCAUUAAAGCUCCCAGACCAGCUCAUGGGAAAGCUUGUCUAGCUUUCCCUCUCUCUGACCAGGCUGUCACAUCCACAGACACACCUGUGGCUCUGAAGGCCCUGGAGAGACACUGACCCCCAAAGCAGAGGAGCCAGCUCCAGGGCUAAAGGACUGACUGAACACAGAUUACCUCCUCCUGGUCCUCCCACAGGCAAUGUAGCACUGGCUAAAAAAGAAUGCACUAAGUUCCUUCACUGUAUAGAGAUCUUUGUGUCUGCAAAGUGUUCCUUCUGUAAUUGCCUUGUUCCCUCAUUGGUAAUGCAGGAAUUUCAGUCCAAGAAGCACUGGGUGAGGUUCAGAGGUGCUUGGAAAAGUGUUGGUAUUCUCAUACAUCACCAAGUACUCAUUGCCAAUGCAUUCCCAUUUCUCAUCAUUCUAAGAAUUUCUGAAAGUCUAGGAAAUAAUCUGUAUCUCACUGCACUUUAUUUGGUAUUUAUCAUCAUAAAGUUUAGGAGAUUAAUCAU